CUCUCCCGGAGCAUUUAUACAUUACAGCAUUUUUAAGUUAUUCUAAACAAUAGUGUCGGCCGCUUUAAAGGAAGUGCCUUGCUCGUGCUGUGGGUGGCCUGCUUUCAGGGACGCGCUACCCGCGCUGCGGACAGGAUGAGAAUGCGGAAAGGGUUCGUCUGUCGAGUGACGCUGAGCGCGACUUUGGGCGGAUGAGUUUAGCAGAUGGCGGCUCUGCGGGCUGGACUGGGCCUGGAGGAAGACCACCCUCUGUAGCUGUCACGGCGAUGGCUGCAGCCGAGCCGAGGGAGAGUCCUGCCGAAAUCAGACACCUUCGCAGUGGCGGCGGGGAAUGUAAGUGACGUCAGCAUCAGCGGGAAGGGGACUCCCGCCACGAGGUCACAACUCUGCCAUCCUGCCGAGGCCUCACCAUCCAUCACUGCCAGACCGAGCCACCGCCACACACCCCGAGCCCAUCGCGGCACCCCCGGGGGGAUGCUUUUAUCCAAAGUGACAUGCUGACUGCGGAUGAAGAGGGCCUUGCUGAAGCCGCUGCCAACCAAGCGACUGAAAUCGGUGAC